GUGGGGAAUAUUGGACAAUGGGCGCAAGCCUGAUCCAGCCAUGCCGCGUGAGUGAUGAAGGCCUUCGGGUUGUAAAGCUCUUUUGGCGGGGACGAUGAUGACGGUACCCGCAGAAUAAGCCCCGGCUAACUUCGUGCCAGCAGCCGCGGUAAGACGAAGGGGGCAAGCGUUGUUCGGAAUUACUGGGCGUAAAGGGCGCGUAGGCGGUCUUGUUAGUCAGGCGUGAAAGCCCUGGGCUUAACCUAGGAUGUGCGCUUGAUACUGCGAGGCUUGAGUGUGGGAGAGGUUGGUGGAAUUCCCAGUGUAGAGGUGAAAUUCGUAGAUAUUGGGAAGAACACCGGUGGCGAAGGCGGCCAACUGGACCACAACUGACGCUGAGGCGCGAAAGCGUGGGGAGCAAACAGGAUUAGAAACCCCUGUAGUCC
rnacentral:rRNA from 1 species